GUGUUUCCUUCCAGCCGUUCUCGGCUGCGCCUUCCCGUUGCGGCCUCUCCUUCCUGUGUCGCCGUUGAGGUGGAGGGGAGGGUCCGGUUCAUGGUGCGAGACUUGCGGGGACGCACGGACCGUGCAGUAUGGCGUAAACUGCGCCCUCGGGGGGAGGACUCCUCACACUCUUCCCCUGCUCCAGUGUGGGGUCCCACCCACAGGAGACAGCACUCCAUGAACUUCUCCAAUGUGAAUCCUUCCCACAGGCUGCAGUUCUUCACAGGCUGCUCCUGAGUAGGUCCCCUCCAUGGGGUGGAUCCUUCAGGAACAGACUGUUCCAGUGUGGGUCACCUCCAGGGUCACAACUCCUGUCAACAAACCUGCUGCAGCUCAGGCUCCUCUCUCCACAAGUCUGAUCCUUCACUGCCUUACAUCUUCAGUCACUGACCCUUUUCCAACUGGCUGUAGGCUGCUAUCAAGUCUGAUCUGAGAUAGAAAAGUGAUUAAUUUUAUUUUGGUGGAGUUAGGAAUAGGUAAGUGGAUCAAGUGGAGAGUCUAAUGCAACACUCAUUGUGGUUCCUGCUUUUGGAUUUUUAACUCUUAUUACAAGAUGCAGCUUUACCUGCAUAGCUUCUCUAGACCUUUAUUAUGUCUAAGAGGAUUUUAAAUGUGUAGGUAUAAAUAAAGCAUUCUUUGUUUAAAAGGUGUAUAAGAAGAAUUUAACUUUGUACCAGCAUAAUAAAAAUACACUAUAAUCACUUUCAAGCAAAGCGCAAGAAACUGAAAAAAGAAGAGUUCUUUUGAUAAAAAUGUAGUAGACUUAGUGUUAUAUUAUUUUGCCAAUAUAUCUGUGAAUAAACUCUAUUGUUGCAGACAUAGUCACUGUUUUUUUACUAUACUUUUCACUGCUUUCUUACGGAACAUGCUUUUGCAGACAUGAAAUUCCUUGAGAUUUGAUUAAAUGGAAUCUCUGCUCAUGUAAUGAACGCUGAUACAACUGAUAUCAGUAGUUUAGUACUUCUAAGGUAGUUGGUAUGAGAUGGAAGCAUUUGUGGGGCUAGAUGGUGAAGGGCUACCAUACUGCAGAGCAUUUGCAGAAGGGAGAAAAUUAAACUAACAAUGUUGCUGUGUUUUUUAUUUUCUCAAA